CCCUUAGAUGUUCUGGGCCACACGCGUGCUACACUGAGUAAUUCAAUGGGUAAGGGAACGCUAGAGCAUUACCUAAUCUUGAAAUUUGCUCGUGAUGGGGAUCGACGGUUGCAAUUUUCCGUCGUGAACGAGGAAUACCUUGUAGGCGCAUGUCAUCAUCAUGCGCCGAAUACGUCCCUGCCCUUUGUACACACCGCCCGUCGCACCUACCGAUUGGAUGUUCCGGUGAAGCCUCGGGAUGAGGACUGGUGCCUUUAUUGGCAUGAGUCGUUCAGAACUUGUCUAAACCUUAUCAUCUAGAGGAAGGUGAAGUCGUAACA
rnacentral:rRNA from 1 species